ensembl:lncRNA
GUUUCUGCUCCUUCAAAGUUCACAACACAAUGAAUGAAUUCCUAAAACACUCUCAAUGCUGGAGAGCGUUUGUGAUGCUGAAGCAUGAUCAGUUUUUCUGUUUCUUCUCUGGAGAUGCACAAUGAGGGACGUCUGCAGCGACUGAGAAAGAGUCUCACCACAUCCUGACAUGAGGAAAAAGACUUUAUUGAAGACUACAAUGAGAAAAACUAUCAGACAGCAGACGGCUGCAUUCAAGAGAAGAAGACCAUCAAACAUCCACGUCAGCUGAUGGAGGUCCAAGAGUCUCACCAAACAACCAACCUACAGAGUGAAGACCUCCAAUCUGAUUGGACGGCCUCCUAUUCAGCCACAUGUGUGAACAAAUGCCUCUAAGCUGAUUUGUUUUCUAAAAUAAAUCUAGUUUGAGUCCUAAUCUAUGCCUGUGUGUUUGCUUCUUUACACCGCUGUUAACAGUUUAGGCUGUUAGAUUGUUCCAGAUAAGACAAGUACAAGAUUCUUCAGAGCCGUUCUACCACGAGCCUGACAGGAAGAACUCCAACAGCUACUGAAUGUUCCUGUGGUCCCCUCAAGGCUACAGGAGGAGUCCUACGAGGACGAGCCGGUCCACCUGAUGGUGGCCAGUCGCUGCGGUUUAAAGCCAACACCGACUAUGUGGACUUCUACUGGACCACACGGAGGCCUUCAAACCGGACCAACAAGUUCACCGACUCCCCGACUCGUGGGUCUGAGGACGCUGCCGAGCCUCGGCCCAGCCGGCCUCCUGUCUGUGGGUGUUUGAGUGCUGAGAGGUUUGUGGAUGCAUGUGAACGUUCUGUGUUGAAACAGCAGCUUUGGACUCAGUAACGCCGGGAAAAACCAAGAGCUCCUUUAUUUGUCACUUCCACUAAAACUGAUGAAAAUAAGUUUGCCAGGGUUCUGACUGAUGACAGAUUAUUAAAUAAUGAAAAUAAUCGUUUAAAUAUUCCUUUAAACAAUCCUUUUAGG